GUAGGUGAACCUGCGGAAGGAUCAUUAUCACGUAUCCACGUAUAAACCAUUGUGAACCGUUCUUUAACCUCCACGAACAUUGGCGCGCGCAUGUAAAAAGUGUGAACGCCAACGUAAAAUGGAGCGUAUUCAACCUAUUAACCAUUUUAACCAAUCUUUAUAACUUUAUGAACUAACUUUAUUUUAUACUCUUCGGAGAUAAAAUUCAUUACGAAACAAAGAACAACUCUUAGCAACGGAUAUCUUGGUUCUC
rnacentral:misc_RNA from 1 species